rnacentral:rRNA from 1 species
ACGGGAAACCGGAGCUAAUACGGAUAAGAUAUCGAACCGCAUGGUUCGAUAGUGAAAGAUGGUUUUGCUAUCACUUAUAGAUGGACCCGCGCCGUAUUAGCUAGUUGGUGAGGUAACGGCUCACCAAGGCAACGAUACGUAGCCGACCUGAGAGGGUGAUCGGCCACACUGGAACUGAGACACGGUCCAGACUCCUACGGGAGGCAGCAGC